rnacentral:misc_RNA from 1 species
UCCGGUUUGGCACCGGCAGUCCUCCCAGAGUCCUCGCCAUGACGCGUUAGCAACUGGGAGCGGGGGUUGCGCUCGUUGCGGGACUUAACCCAACAUCUCACGACACGAGCUGACGACAGCCAUGCAGCACCUGUCUUGGGACUCCGAAGAGGGGCCGUGGUUUCUCACGGCUUUCCCCAAGAUGUCAAGCCCAGGUAAGGUGGGGAUGACGUGACACAGACUAUAC